CUGACAGUGUUAUGCAGAGAAACAGGCUCUAGGAGAAGUGAGCUCUGAGCUUCUAGACACUCGAGUUAAUCCAGCAGUUUGGGAAAUUAGUGGACAUAUGGUACUGAAAAGGGAGGAGGACUAUGAGGAGGCGUCCGAGCAAAAUGUUUGGAGGCUCCUAGCUGAGGUUUCCCUGUCUGAAGAGAGGCUCCACGAAGUGAAGGAGCUUCUUUUUGAAGCCAUAUCUUGCAGUAUGGAGGAGGAUAAGGGCGUUACACAGAACAUCCUUGAGGAGUAGGAUGUCAGCCCUCAAUCUCUUGAAGAUGUGGAUGCCCUUCAAGGCUCCAACCCUGCUGUAGUGUCUGUGUAGCAGAAAUUAAUACUGGGUUCUGAGCUAAAAAAUGGCUUUGUUGAUAGGAUUUCGGUCCCGCUUCUUAUUUGAUAUCAAAUGUGUGUGUAAUGUCGGAUUUUCUAUGGUUUCCAUUGUGGAUAUUCUUAAAUAAUGCAAACUAUGUUUGCUCUGCUGUUGGAAUGUGUGUGUAAUUUUAUUUAGUGGGUUUGCUAAUCCACAUUUUUGUGUAAUGAAACCUUUGUUCUAGACGUCUCAAUCUUUUAUUGA
rnacentral:lncRNA from 1 species